UGUUUCAAGAAAUUUCCAUGACAACUUCAUUUUCUACAAUUUCUCUAUAAAUAGCAAUGCUCAUCUUGAUUUUUGAAACUCACUUAAUUUUCCCCGUUUAAAUUUUGUAAAACAACAGCAUGGGCUGUUUACUAUGGCUCACUCAACUUCUCUGCCUCCUUUUCUUUCACUUCCAUUUUCAAGCCACCAGUUCUCUAUCUUUGUCUUGUAAUACCUCCAUUUCACUGGAACUUUGUCAGCUUGAACAAAAUCAUGCAUUGCUCCAAUUCAAAAAUUCUUUCUCCAUUACCAGUUCAGCCUCUUUCGACUACCCUCCAUAUGCUCAUUAUCCCAAAACAGACUCAUGGGAAGAGGGCACUGAUUGCUGCUCGUGGGAUGGGGUCACUUGUGACUUACAAACAGAACCAAAAAACCUAUAUGGUUGGUAAAGAUAGUUGAGGGCAAAGCAAAAGCUUACAGAUCUAAUAAAAGAAAUAAAAAAUUCAAUUCAGUCAAGAUCUUAAGGAACAUGUUGAAUAAUUAGAGGGAAGUGAUUGUUGGCAAGUGGAAAUAGGCUUAAAUGCAUUGCUCAGAAAGUCAAUAGCUUGCACCAAAACAGCAGCUUCAAAGGAAAGGGAAAAUCUACUUCAUUGCUUCUGUUAAGUUCUGUUGUUAUGCUCCUUUUUUAAUAUUUUCACAAUAAAAUAUUUACAUUAUUUUCUGAAAACUUUUUACCUAAUGUUUGAAAUAUAAAUAUGUAAUUGUUAAUUUUCAUGAUAAAUAAAUAUA